rnacentral:rRNA from 1 species
AUGAACGCUAGCGGCAGGCUUAAUACAUGCAAGUCGAGGGGCAGCAUGAACUAGCAAUAGUUUGAUGGCGACCGGCAAACGGGUGCGGAACACGUACACAACCUUCCUUUAAGUGGGGAAUAGCCCAGAGAAAUUUGGAUUAAUACCCCGUAACACAACGAAGUGGCAUCACUUUGUUGUUAUAGUUUCGGCGCUUAAUGAUGGGUGUGCGUAUGAUUAGAUAGUUGGCGAGGUAACGGCUCACCAAGUCUACGAUCAUUAGCUGAUGUGAGAGCAUGAUCAGCCACACGGGGCACUGAGACACGGGCCCGACUCCUACGGGAGGCAGCAGUAAGGAAUAUUGGUCAAUGGACGCAAGUCUGAACCAGCCAUGCCGCGUGAAG